CUAGUUGGCGAGGUAACGGCUCACCAAGGCAACGACGGGUAGCUGGUCUGAGAGGAUGGCCAGCCACAUUGGGACUGAGAUACGGCCCAGACUCCUACGGGAGGCAGCAGUGGGGAAUCUUGCGCAAUGGCCUAACGGCUGACGCAGCGACGCCGCGUGUGGGAUGAAGCUCCUCGGAGCGUAAACCACUGUUGCCCGGGACGAAUAGCUCGAUUAAUCGAGCCUGACGGUACCGGGUGAGGAAGCACCGGCUAACUCCGUGCCAGCAGCCGCGGUAAUACGGGGGGUGCGAGCGUUGUCCGGAAUCACUGGGCGUAAAGGGCGCGUAGGUGGUUUGAUAAGGGUGUGGUGAAAGUCCGGGGCUCAACCCCGGAUCUGCCGUGCCGACUGUCAAACUCGAGGGCUGUAGAGGCAGACGGAAUUCCGGGUGUAGCGGUGGAAUGCGUAGAGAUCCGGAGGAAGACCGGUGGCGAAGGCGGUCUGCUGGGCAGUUUCUGACACUGAUGCGCGACAGCGUGGGGAGCAAACAGGAUUAGAUACCCUGGUAGUCCACGCCGUAAACGAUGGGUACUAGGUGCCUGGGGGAGCGACCCUCUGGGUGCCGGCGCUAACGCAGGAAGUACCCCGCCUGGGGAGUACGACCGCAAGGUUGAAACUCAAAGGAAUUGACG
rnacentral:rRNA from 1 species